UCUGUGGGGGAAGUAAACAAACAAGUUUGUGAGGGUCUGGUCCCUUCGGAUAAAAUCGUGGAGUGGUCCAUGAAGAAAAAAUCAUAAAAUGGAAUAGGACGUGCUUGUUUGUAGGCCUUCCCACUUGGAGAGUUAAUGGACCCUACUAGGAUAAUGUUCAAACACGUGUAUUAAUAAUAUAUCCCCAGUUCAUAAAUAUUUUAUUAGGUAAAUUACUUUUUAAUUUUAAAUAAUGUCAUAAUUAAUACUUUAUUCCUCACUUUUUAAAAAUCAAUGAUUUGGCCUCUUUUAAUUUUGAUUUCGUAAAAAUGAAAAAUCUUUCUAUCAAUAAUCAUCUUUAAUUAUGCUAAAUUUUCACUACUCCCAAUCUUUUCUUGGUAACCAAAAAGAAAGUUUAAUACACUCCAAAUCACAAUCUUAGCUAACUUUGCGACAACCCACUUACUCAAAUCAAAAUCCUCAUCUCAUCCAUUAGACCCAUCUCCUUAUCUCUGUUAUUUCACCGCGUUAUAAACCCCCAGACCUACGCAAGCCAUUCGAUCCUUUUGUUUAAUGGCCACAUCCAAUAACAGCAGUGACAGCAAGUCCUCGACCGAUAGCAGGGGGGAUUUAGGUUUAGAUGCAGAUUCAUACGACAGGUGAGACCUGUAGUACCCAGUCAUUGCCCCCACCUGAUUGCGAUUCAGAUGGUGACUGCAAGUUCCUGACCACAACCCUACCCUUUCAUGCACAUCACUUUUGGCAACCUCACUCUUAAAAACCAUGUUGCUUCAAAGCCCGCUCUCUCUGUUGUUCACCCUUUAUCGUUGUUGUGCUUUUGUAAAAUUAAGCUUAAGAAUUUCUCACUCCAAACGGCCCUCAUCCUCUUCAUUCCCCAUAAGAACAAUCACUUCCCUAAGGCACAAACUCAAACCCUUGUGGUUACUGAUAGAGUUAAUCAUAUAUCUGUUAUUAUAAAUCUGUUAUAUUUAUCUAAUUUACCAGCUCAUGUAUAUCCUGUAUAAGAUAACAUUAUAUCUGUAACAAUAUCCAGCUCAUGUAUAUCUUAUGUAAGCUAAUAUUAUCUCUAUAACAACCUACUGUAUUUAAGCAAUCCUUUUAGUAAUGUAAAUACCAGUUCUGCAACAUUGUGCUUCUUCAUGCUAUCAGAGCCUUCUUUGCCUUCCAGCUCUUCUUGGAAAAAAAAAAUGGUCACAUCUAAUGCCUUAAUCUCUUCUUUAUCCACUUCAACCAUUUCUUCUCCACCAAAUAUUGCUCAAUAUCUCCCUAUCAAACAUACUUCCACCAACUACUUACUCUGGAAAAAUCAAAUCCUUCCCAUUCUAUAUGGCUAUAGUCUUACUUCCCACAUUGAUGCUAAUGCUACCCCACCAGUCCAACGCACUGCUAACAAUCUCCCAAUCCAAAUUAUGACUUGUGGUUCAGGCAGGACCAGCUCGUUCUCAGCUAGUUGUACUGCUCCAUCUCUGAGACACUACUGCCGCAAAUAAUUGGUAUACCUACUGCUCGAGAAGUAUGGCAUAAGUUGGCAGCCAUAUUCUUUGCUGGGUCAAGAACACAAGUUUUACAACUGAGAAAACAACUAAAAUACCUUAAGAAAGGUAGUGAGUCCAUUGAUGAUUGUAUGAAAGAGCUAAAAGCAUUUCUGAUAAGCUUUCUAUGCUCCAAAGUCGUGUCACUGAAGAUGCUCUUGUGAAUGAUAUUUUAGAGGGCCUUGACUCAUCUUAUCAUCCUUUUACCCUAGCAAUUAAGGCUUGCUAUGUCCCAAUUACCUAUGAUGACCUUUAUGCUUUACUGCUUAGCGAGGAGGCUCAAUUGAAAAUGGAUUCUUUAUCCAUUGACAGUGUUCCACCGAUAGCCCACUAUGCUCAUAAAACUAGAGGAGGAAAAUCAGGCCGAGGACGUGGACGCAACAGUUCAACCAAUCAAUUCUCUCAAUCUCGCCAUCCAUCUGCCAUCACCUAUCACAAUUGCAAUGGAACUGGCCAUAUUGCGCACCAAUGCCCUUCGCCACGCACCGCCUCCUACUCCACCAACAAUCUGAACCAACACCAGCCUUCCAUAAAUUUUGCCGCCACUCGGUCCUCCCCACAGCAGACUUGGACAUUGGAUUCUAGUGCAAACUAUCAUCUUACCUCUAAUGUCAGAAAUCUUACUCAUUCUGCUCCGUACCAUGGCAAUGAUGAAAUUGUUAUCGGAAAUUGUAAUACCAUCCCUAUAACUCACACUGGUUCCUCUCUCAUUCGCUCUUCUCAUCAUUCUUUUUCUCUUCAAAAUGCUUUAUGUUCCCCUGUUAUUCAUCGCAAUUUAAUUUCUGUGAAUGCCUUUGCUAAACAAAAUAAUGUUUCUAUUGCAUUUUAUCCUAAUUAUUUUCUUGUGAAGGAUAUCCUCAUGAACAAGAUUCUGUUCCGAGGCUAGAGUAAAGAUGGUUUGUACCACAUACCUCUGCAAGUUCUUCCACUAGUGUCUCCAGAAGUCAAUACUGUCAAAUUCAACACAUGGCAUGCUAGGCUCGGACAUGCUAAUUCUUGUUUUGUUAGCAAAGUUCUUCAUUCAAUUAAAUUGUCUUAUGUGUCUUCGUUUAAGUUCCCUUGUCAUGCUUGUCAUUUAGGGAAAAUGCACAAUUGCCUUUUCCUGAGUCUAGUGUAAAGGUUAAUAAUCCAUUGGAACUCAUUUGUUCAGAUGUUUGGGGGCGAGUAUCAAGCUUUAACUUCCUAUCUGAGAGAUAAUGGUAUUACCCAACGAAUAUCAUGCCCGCAUACCCUUGAGCAAAAUGGUUGUGCUGAAUGUAAACACUGCCAUAUCAUUGAGACAGGUCAUGCCUUGUUGUUUCAUGCCAAUGUCCCUACCAAAUACUGGAAUUUUGCCUUUGAUAGUGCAGUUUAUGCAAUUAAUAUAUUACCUUCAACACACAAUACUAUCACUACUCCAUAUGAACUUUUAUUUGGCAAUACACUUAACUACAAUGACUUACAUGUGUUUGGUUGUUUGUGCUACCCUUGGCUUAGUCCCUAUGCUAAAAAUAAGUUACCUCCUCGCUCUAGUCGAUGUGUUUUUUUGGGAUAUAGUAAGCUUUAUAAAGGGUACUUCUGUUUGGAUGUUCUUAGUGGUAAAUUAUUUGUCUCACGCCAUGUUUACUUUUCUGAACAGGAUUUCCCGUUCUCAUGGCAAGAUGAUAGUUUGGUCAUUCGUAAUUCUGUCCAUGUGUCCAGUCCAGCUCCAUCAGCACCGCAAGUCCCAAUUGCCCUUCAUGCUUCUCCUAUCCCACAUCAAGAUGGAGUUUUGGGACCCACUCCCUAUGCUUCACACCAAAAUGGAGUUUUGGGCCCACCUCCACGUGCCUCACCAAAACCAUGCCACCUUCUACCUCAUCCAUGCACUAACAACCAUCUUUCGUCACCCAUAUCUCAUCCACCAAUAACCUUAUCUCCACCAACAGAAACACACACCAAUGCAUUGAUCCCUUGCCAUUAACCAACAAACCAGAAUCCUAGUCCCAACGAGAUCUCUCUAGUUGGUGAUUUAUCCUCUCCUUCUUCCCAAAUGGAUCACCCUUCAUCAUCGUUGCCUCAACCAUAAAUAAAACCAUGCCUAGCUGUCUGUACCCAUCCCAUGACAACAAGAUCACAAACUGGUUCUCUGAAACCCAAAACUUAUUUUGUUGUGCCCUCCCAUCCACUUAUUCCCACCUCCUACCUUGAGGCAUCCAGAAAAAAAAUUGGCGAGAAGCCAUGACAGAAGAAUUAAAUGCCCUCCUUCAAAAUGGCACUUGGGAGCUUGUUCCUCGCUCCCUUGCUCAUAAUAUUAUCGAUUGCAAGUGGGUCUUCCACAUCAAGGAGAAGCCAGAUGGAAGCAUUGAUCGCUAUAAGGCACAUUUAAUUGCCAAGGGAUUCCACCAACAUCCAGGUGUUGAUUUUCUCGAUACUUUCUCUCCUAUUGUUAAACCAACUACAAUAAGAAUUCUCCUUUCUCUUGCUGUAUCUUAUGAUUAGCUGAUUCCCCAACUAGACAUCUCCAAUGCAUUCCUCAAUGGUGACUUGGAUGAUACCAUCUUCAUGGAGCAACCUCCAGGUUUUAUGGAUCCGAAUAAGCCACACCAUAUUUGUAGACUCAAAAGAUCACUUUAUGGACUUCGUUAGGCUCCCCAUCAAUGGCACAAAAAAUUAGUGCAAGUAUUAGUUGAUCUUGGUUUUCAACCUUCUGCUGCAGAUUGUUCUCUUCUUCAUUAUCAACAAAAUGGUUCUGGAGAUACUGAUCGAGAGCCCAGUAGACCACAGACUGGGUGAGUCCAUCCUGCAGCUCUGCAUAGUGUCCGUGUCACCUCACCAUCUUCAGUGCAUUGGUAGGACACUAGGUUUCAUUUUGAUAUUUUGUAACUAAUUUUUAUUUUCUCAUAUGUAAUUGAACUUAUGAAAUGUAUUUUGAUGUUCAUGUAAAUAAUGAGAAUUGUGUUUGUGAAUGGAAAAGUGAAUGUUUAUCUGUGGUUUA